rnacentral:rRNA from 1 species
UCUACGGGUGGCAGCAGUGGGGAAUAUUGCACAAUGGGGGAAACCCUGAUGCAGCGACGCCGCGUGAGUGAAGAAGUAUCUCGGUACGUAAAGCUCUAUCAGCAGGGAAGAAAAUGACGGUACCUGACUAAGAAGCCCCGGCUAACUACGGGCCAGCAGCCGGGGUAAUACGUAGGGGGCAAGCGUUAUCCGGAUGUAAUGGGUGUAAAGGGAGCGUAGCAGGGAGCACAAGGCUGGAGUGAAAUCCCGGGGCUUAACCCCGGAACUGCUUUGGAAACUGUGGGGCUGGAGUGAGGGAGGGGUAAGCGGAAUUCCUGGUGUAGCGGUGAAAUGCGUAGAUAUUAGGAGGAACACCGGUGGCGAAGGCGGCUUACUGGACUGUAACUGACGUUGAGGCUCGAAAGCGUGGGGAGCAAACAGGAUUAGAUACCCCAGUAGUC